UGGUGACCAUGGAUACUCCUUGAAGAA
rnacentral:piRNA from 1 species